UACGUAGGUGGCGAGCGUUGUCCGGAUUUACUGGGCGUAAAGAGCGCGCAGGCGGUCGUGCAAGUCGCGUGUGAAAGCCCCCGGCUCAACUGGGGAGGGUCACGCGAUACUGCUCGACUCGAAGGCAGGAGAGGGAAGUGGAAUUCCCGGUGUAAUGGUGAAAUGCGUAGAUAUCGGGAGGAACACCAGUGGCGAAGGCGACUUCCUGGCCUGUUCUUGACGCUGAGGCGCGAAAGCUAGGGUAGCAAACGGG
rnacentral:rRNA from 1 species